rnacentral:lncRNA from 1 species
AUGCGGCCCCACCAAGGGAGGCGUUCCAGGUCCGUUUUCUUCACCACGCCCAGGCCCGACAACCAGGGCCUGCCACCCUGGGUGCCCGCUCUCCACCUUCCUCUUGGCUUGAGGGCCUCGUCCUGGAUGGAGGUGAGGCGGGGCUGGACGGCUGGCGGGGACGGCGCAGGAGCAGCAGCAGCCUCCUCCGAAUGCGGGUCCUCUGGCAGUCUUCCUUUCAUAGCUUCUCAGGCAAGGCCGCCAGCUUCCUUGCGGCCCUCCUGCUCCCGCCGCCCCUCCUCAGAUCAGCGUUGCAGCGCGCACGGCCUCCAGUUCCCGCGGGCCUGCCGCUGCGUCAGCUCCUUGAGCUGUUGCGGCUUCUCCAGAACCUCGGUCUCCAGCUUGGAGUCCUUGGUUGGGACCUCCAGGGCUUCCGGGGCUUCAGUUCCUCGUCCUCCCGCUUCUUCUGCACCCUCCCAUCCCUGCCCCGCCCGGUCAGGCAGCCUCUCAGCUGAAGCUCCGCGUGGCUCGGCACCCCAGGUUGCAGUCCGCGUGUUAAGGCCCGUUUGCAACCAGGUCUCUGCCAGGCAGCGUGCCAGAGGCAGAAGCACAGAGGGCGGGCCCAGGCUCUCCUGGCUGCGCCCUCUCUGCGCAUGCACGGUGACCUCCCUGCCCCUGCGGCGUCUUCUGCGACCCUCCCACGCAUCACGUGGAAGGGGGCGUCAAGCGCGCCCAGUGUUGAAGGUCUUUGUGGAGCCUGAGCUUAGGAACCUUCCAGCUGUGGAACUUGGGUGUCAAUCAUGCCUUGGAAAAGGCUGUGCACAGCAGCUUUUGGGAAAAGCACAGACCUGUGGAUUUACCGGUGACAGUGAGGGAGAAGUUGUCUGCAUGCCUGGAACUCAACCAGCAGACUGUUGACUUAAUUAUGCCACACAACAGAUCCAACAUUUUAAAGCUGUGAAAGAUGGAGAUCUUUUCAUGCUCUUAUUUUUUUGUUUUUUACCCAGCCAACUUAACCUGCCU